rnacentral:lncRNA from 1 species
CUUAUUCUUCCUGAUGAAAAUCCGGUCAUAGCAUCUUUCAUUAAAAAUAAAAUUAUUUUGAAAUAAAUAAAUAUAUAAAAUAAAUAUCAUAUACAUUUUAUAAAUAGUUUUGUCCUUAUGCACAGUAUCCAUGCUUACAUCUGAAUAAUGUUCCUCACCCCAUUCCCACCCCAACAGCAGGAGAAACCCCACACACCAGGACCAGUCCACGUAGCAUCAUCCAUGUAGCAAACCGCUGGGCCGCUGCAGCAGGGUGCCAUCUGAAAGGCUGCUUCUUAGCCAGAAACCAUCCCGAGCUUAUCAGAAGCACCUGGAUCAGUUCUGUGGUCUUUUGUUUUCCUUCCUUCUCUUGAAUUCUAGUUUUUUGGGUUUUUUUUCCCCUCUGGUUAACAGGUUUGCUUGCCUGUUUGUUCUCUUAAGCAACCAUAACACUGACUAUUUGGCCUCUCUUACAGCCACCAAGUAAAGAAAGUGAAUGAAAAUGAAAGAUUAUAUGUAGGGUUCCCUCCCUUCCCCUACCCCCACCCCCAUAAAUAACCCAGGUUCGAUAUACGCUUGAAACAAGGAGGAACAGCAGUGUCUGGAUUCAAUGUAAGUGCUUUCCUAUGUCAUCUACGUUUACAGGAAUGAUGGAAUGACUAUUAAUAUAGUGCUCUGGGAAAAAGCUUGGGAGCCCAAGUAUGUACAUUGACGGGGCAGCUGCAGGAAACAUCACCUGUAGUGGAAGAGGUCUCUGUACACUGCAGGUAUUUUGGCAGGGUCCACGGGCCUCGGUAAAAAGUGAGUGAAUUUCUGAUGUCUCUUAGUCCUGUACCCCUCGCGGGGGGAGCCGUCCUUGUUCAGAGCCACGUAGUAAUGCCUCUCCGAGUCCGGAUGCUUGUAGAGUGUUGAGGCGUACGUGUUGUACCAGUUCUCUUCAAACUGCUCUCGGAAAACACAUUCCCUUGUGAGCUUCUUCGACCCAUACAGCUCGCCUCUCUCGUUCAUGCCGAGGUAGAGUCCUGAAUCCACCCCACGGAUACUAACC